AUUGAACGCUGGCGGCAGGCCUAACACAUGCAAGUCGAGCGAAGCCUUCGGGCUUAGCGGCGGACGGGUGAGUAACGCGUGGGAACGUGCCCUUUGGUACGGAAUAGCCCCGGGAAACUGGGAGUAAUACCGUAUGUGGUCGAGAGACGAAAGAUUUAUCGCCAAAGGAUCGGCCCGCGUUGGAUUAGGUAGUUGGUGGGGUAAUGGCCUACCAAGCCGACGAUCCAUAGCUGGUUUGAGAGGAUGAUCAGCCACACUGGGACUGAGACACGGCCCAGACUCCUACGGGAGGCAGCAGUGGGGAAUCUUAGACAAUGGGGGAAACCCUGAUCUAGCCAUGCCGCGUGAUCGAUGAAGGCCUUAGGGUUGUAAAGAUCUUUCAGUGGGGAAGAUAAUGACUGUACCCACAGAAGAAGCCCCGGCUAACUCCGUGCCAGCCGCCGCAGUAACAC
rnacentral:rRNA from 1 species